rnacentral:siRNA from 1 species
CUUAUCAUUUAGAGGAAGGAG